GACAGAGGGUGCGAACGUUGUUCGGAAUUACUGGGCGUAAAGCGCGUGUAGGCGGCAACGCAAGUCGGGCGUGAAAUCCCACGGCUCAACCGUGGAAGUGCACUCGAAACUGCGUAGCUAGAGUCCUGGAGAGGAAGGUGGAAUGCUUGGUGUAGAGGUGAAAUUCGUAGAUAUCAAGCGGAACACCGGUGGCGAAGGCGGCCUUCUGGACAGUGACUGACGCUGAGACGGCGAAAAGCGUGGGGAGCAAACAGGG
rnacentral:rRNA from 1 species